rnacentral:tRNA from 1 species
GGUCUGGUAGUUCAGUUGGUUAGAAUAUCUGACUGUCACGCAGGGGGUCGCGGGUUCGAGUCCCGUCCAGACCG